GCAAAACAGAAUUACUUUUUUAAAGGAGCAAUGUGUGAUUUUUAGCGGCAUCUAGUGGUGAGACUUGCGAAUUGCAAACGGCAAGUCACUCGCGGCCUCUCCCUCCAAUUGCAAACUCUAUUUUGAAGCUACGGUGGCCAACGUAGGAUAAAGUCAAAGAGAAUAAACUAUGUCGUCGUCUGAGUCUGCAGAGAGUAGCAAGACAAGCAAUGAGACUUUACCAUAGUUUCUAUGCUAUUUAGUUAGAACAAGGUAAGAGCUAAGGGUAAGAGCAUCAAAUCAGCUACGUAAGGGGAAAUAGUUAACGUUAUGAUUUCCGAGGCAUCACUCGGACAGCAUUGUUUAUACACGUUUUCAGAGUCAGGAACAACCUGAAUACGCACCAGAGGUAACUGGAAGAGGGAGAGGGAGAGGGAGAGGAAGAGGAAGAGGACGGAGAGGCAGAGGUGUUGUAGGUGCAGUCAGGGAAGGGAGAGGCAGAGGAGGACCUACCCGCCGGAUCGAUGGCUCAGAGGAUGAAGAAAGAGUUUUAGCCCUCCAAAGGAACCGGAGAGCUGUUACUGAGAGACUUCUACAGGAGAUGACCCUAGAAGAACACCGAGAGCUCUCCACCCUUCUGCUUGAGAGACAGCCAGGCCUGGUCUUUGAUGCCUUGAUAAUGCAUCAGCGCAGACACGGUGCUCCACCUUCUGCUGGAGUCCCAGAAGUACCUUGGUGUACUUGUGGUAACUGUCGGGAAAUGCCUACGGACCAGGAGAGGAAAUGCUGUGGCCAGGAUCAAGCUAACUGUGUGAGCCUAAUGCCUCACUUCUCCCAGUACUGCCUUGAAGAAGGCUUUAUUCGCAUUCACAGACAGUACCGGGAGGACAUUACGGCAUUAGGCAACAUCAGGGAGCCUGGGGAUGACAACCGAGAGUACCGUUAUGGAGCCUAUAGACACUUUAUCUAUUGGCAACAUGGAGCUUUAGGCCAGGGAAACCGACUUGUCAUUCCCAGCUGUUGUGUACGGAGGAUCAGGGACAAGUUCCCUGAUCCUCAAGGACACUACACUGGUUUUAUUCCUGGACUAUGAAUUUCCUUCCAGGCCCUCUGGCAUGUUCAUACAGUUUCCACAAGUACUCCCAAAUCUGCCUCAGCAUCAUCAAGGCAUCAAACCAAUGUACAUAUUUACCGUUUGAUUUAUUAUUUUU